rnacentral:ncRNA from 2 species
CACAUGUUCCGGGGACGGUGAGAUUCCGUACCGGCGGUGACAGUCCGCGACCCGCGUCCUCCCUCACAGGAAGACCGGUUGACUCGGUGGAAUUCCGAGACCGACAGUAAAGUCUGGAUGGGAGGAACAUCGU